rnacentral:rRNA from 1 species
CCUACGGGGUGCACCAGUGGGGAAUAUUGCACAAUGGGCGCAAGCCUGAUGCAGCCAUGCCGCGUGUAUGAAGAAGGCCUUAGGGUUGUAAAGUACUUUCAGUUGGGAGGAAGGCGUUGAUGCUAAUAUCAUCAACGAUUGACGUUACCAACAGAAGAAGCACCGGCUAACUCCGCGCCAGCAGUCGCGGUAAUACGGAGGGCGCAAGCGUUAAUCGGGAUUACUGGGCGUAAAGCGCACGCAGGCGGUUGAUUAAGUUAGAUGUGAAAUCCCCGGGCUUAACCUGGGAAUGGCAUCUAAGACUGGUCAGCUAGAGUCUUGUAGAGGGGGGUAGAAUUCCAUGUGUAGCGGUGAAAUGCGUAGAGAUGUGGGGGAAUACCGGUGGCGAAGGCGGCCCCCUGGACAAAGACUGACGCUCAGGUGCGAAAGCGUGGGGAGCAAACAGGAUUAGAUACCCCCGUAGUC